rnacentral:rRNA from 1 species
UGGGGAAUUUUGGACAAUGGGGGAAACCCUGAUCCAGCCAUCCCGCGUGUGCGAUGAAGGCCUUCGGGUUGUAAAGCACUUUUGGCAGGAAAGAAACGUCAUGGGUUAAUACCCCGUGAAACUGACGGUACCUGCAGAAUAAGCACCGGCUAACUACGUGCCAGCAGCCGCGGUAAUACGUAGGGUGCAAGCGUUAAUCGGAAUUACUGGGCGUAAAGCGUGCGCAGGCGGUUCGGAAAGAAAGAUGUGAAAUCCCAGAGCUCAACUUUGGAACUGCAUUAUUAACUACCGGGCUAGAGUGUGUCAGAGGGAGGUGGAAUUCCGCGUGUAGCAGUGAAAUGCGUAGAUAUGCGGAGGAACACCGAUGGCGAAGGCAGCCUCCUAGGAUAACACUGACGAUCAUGCACGAAAGCGUGGGGAGCAAACAGG